rnacentral:rRNA from 1 species
UGGCUCAGAUUGAACGCUGGCGGCAGGCCUAACACAUGCAAGUCGAGCGGAUGAAGGGAGCUUGCUCCCUGAUUCAGCGGCGGACGGGUGAGUAAUGCCUAGGAAUCUGCCUGGUAGUGGGGGACAACGUCUCGAAAGGGACGCUAAUACCGCAUACGUCCUACGGGAGAAAGUGGGGGAUCUUCGGACCUCACGCUAUCAGAUGAGCCUAGGUCGGAUUAGCUAGUUGGUGAGGUAAUGGCUCACCAAGGCGACGAUCCGUAACUGGUCUGAGAGGAUGAUCAGUCACACUGGAACUGAGACACGGUCCAGACUCCUACGGGAGGCAGCAGUGGGGAAUAUUGGACAAUGGGCGAAAGCCUGAUCCAGCCAUGCCGCGUGUGUGAAGAAGGUCUUCGGAUUGUAAAGCACUUUAAGUUGGGAGGAAGGGCAUUAACCUAAUACGUUAGUGUUUUGACGUUACCGACAGAAUAAGCACCGGCUAACUCUGUGCCAGCAGCCGCGGUAAUACAGAGGGUGCAAGCGUUAAUCGGAAUUACUGGGCGUAAAGCGCGCGUAGGUGGUUUGUUAAGUUGGAUGUGAAAUCCCCGGGCUCAACCUGGGAACUGCAUCCAAAACUGGCAAGCUAGAGUAGGGCAGAGGGUGGUGGAAUUUCCUGUGUAGCGGUGAAAUGCGUAGAUAUAGGAAGGAACACCAGUGGCGAAGGCGACCACCUGGGCUCAUACUGACACUGAGGUGCGAAAGCGUGGGGAGCAAACAGGAUUAGAUACCCUGGUAGUCCACGCCGUAAACGAUCUCAACUAGCCGUUGGGA